ensembl:snRNA Gm22446 U6 spliceosomal RNA
GUGCUCGCUUCGGCAGCACGGAUACUAAAACUGGAACAAUAUAGAGAAGAUCACAGCCUCUGCACAAGGAUGGCACGCAAAUUCGUGAAGUGUUCCAUAUUAUU